UUAGGCGUCAAAAGAAACACUCUGUUUUCUCAAUACCCAAGGGUUUUAACUUUCCCUUUAGGCAUUCCCAAGAACACACGCCAUUUCUUUUUCAUUUAGAUCAAGUGCAAGUUCUGCCGAGGGUUAUCUAGCUCUUCCCAAAAGCCUCUCUAUUGAUCAUCAACAUUUCUGUUUUCUAGUCUCUACUACAAAAUUCUGAGAAAGAAUAGGUCUGUAGCAGCAAACAAAAGCGCAUGUCCUAGUGUUUCAGCUAUAUUACCUUAGUUUAUAAAAAGCAGAGGCCUAGCAGCAUCUCAACUCAAAUUAUAUCUUCUAUUCAAUCGAGUCUCAGGUUUAAUGUGAAGACCAAAAAUGAGGAUGAAUCAGUUACAAAGAGUACUAUGAGAUACUAAUUUGUCGCACCAGGGGAAAUUGGAAGUGGACGAGGACGAGGGCUUAAGUUGGUGACAUCGAAAGGAAAAAUUUCACCUGAGACUUCACUUUUUCAAUCUUUGGAUCUGGUUGAGCAAUACAUCCGAGAAGUAAACAAAUAUUCAACACAUCAAAUAAAAUGGAAAUUUCUCAUAUAUAAAAACUGAAAUGACGCUAUCUCUUCAUGUUUCUUUCCCUCUAUUUUACAGUAGCUACCAUCGCAACAUACAACUGAAGAUGCUCCCUUUUCCUGAGUUUUUUUUUUUGCGCAUUUUGUUGCCCAGACGACUUCUCCCUGCACCUACCACUCUUAAUUCACCUAUCCAGCUGAUCAUUUUGAACCACAAGCUCUUGGUGAUAUUACAUUCAAAGAAAAGCUGAUUCAUUGUUGCAUUACGUGUGUCACAAAUAAUACAGGAUAUGAUGGUUGACUGAUAUCUCAUUUUUCUGCAGUCUUUCUACUUUUGAAAGUUUACUACAACUGCUGCUUAUAACAUAGCUCGUCUUGGGGGUGGAGUAAAGACAAAGUACAUGAGAGGUGGAACUUCUUCUAAGGCUGAAUUACUGUCUGAGCUAUGUCCAACUAAAGAGAAAUACAAAUCUUUGAAUGCGGAAAACAAAUAGUUGAAUAAGAGUUAUUAUUGUUGGCUGAAUAUCAGUCAUAUGUAUAGAGUAAGAG